CAGCCGUAAACAAUGUGCGUUAGGUGUGUCGGUAACCACGUGUUACUGAUGCGCCGAAGAGAAAUCGUGAAACGCACCACCUGGGAAGUACGGUCGCAAGGCUGAAACUUAAAGGAAUUGGCGGGGGGAGCACCACAACAGGUGGAGCCUGCGGUUUAAUUGGAUUCAACGCCGGACAUCUCACCGGAUAAGACAGCUGAAUGAUUGUCAAUCUGAAGGUUUUACAUGACUAGCUGAGAGGUGGUGCAUGGCGUAGACGUCU
rnacentral:rRNA from 1 species